rnacentral:piRNA from 1 species
GCCACGAUGCAGAAGGAUCCCACAGCCAC